CCCCCCCCCCCGGCUCGCACUCCACCCCCAGCCCGUGUGCCUCCCUGCCUCGCAGCUGGCCGAGAUGGGAUCUUGCCACCUGCUCCCAGCUCUGCUCUUCAUGUCCCGAUCCUGCCGCAACCACCACAUCACCCCGCGUUCCCCUUUCAGAAGGGAGGAGAGGCUGUGUCCCCCAGGCCCGCGGGGUCUUCCUGUGGCUCACACGUGCUGCCUGCAGCGGCGAGCGGACGGCGCCUUUGGCCGCAGAGACCACGGCAUCAGAAUCGAGGCUCCACCACGCGUGCUAGCCCCUCGGCCUUUCUCACUGCAAAACGAAGCAAUGACGCCUCCCUCAGUGCUAAGGAACUGCCCCACCAGCAUGCUCCGGUAACGCUAGAAAACCGUUUGCAAGCACCAUGACCUCUUCCAAGCAUCUUAUGUGCCCCAACGCACUUAAGGCUCCAACAAUCCUUUGCAGAAAGUGCUAUUGUCGUCUCCACCUCACAGAUAGGAAACCUGAGGCCCAGAGGGGCGGCGCCAUCUUGCCCAAGAAGUUAUUGGCGAAGUGGAAACUGGAGUCCGUUGCAAAUCAUUUCUAUUGAACAGCUAUUGCAUGGGAACUGCUUUCGGAUUUACAGGUGCUUCGUGUCAGCCACACAGCGGCUGAUGCGUAAACGCUCGCCAUGAUGGUGACGAUGAUGCCAACGACGAUGAUGGUGAGGAAGACGAUUAGUCCAUUUGGCCAUGUGGAGAGGAAGGGGUGAGCAUCCCCUAACCGAGGAAGCUGACGACAGCGGUGUGGGAGUCGGUGGUGUCAUGAGAUGCUGAGCCCAGGUCCCACGGGCCAGCCUCAUCUGGCUCACUGCUGCUCUAAAUAGGAGCUUCCAGACCUACUCACACCCCGGGCCCCCAAAGAGCAACUGCUACUAGUCUGCCCUUCUCCUACCAGGGGCUGGCAGGCUGGGGCUCUCUUUCCAACCCCAUAAUUUGAGACCCAGGCGUUGCCAGAGGACUGAACCCAUCUCUCCUCCUCCGACACUAGGCGAGCUCCGUGACAGGCGGAUGGAGGAAGUCUGUGCGCUCCCCGCCACCCACCUGCUAUCCAAAUUCACCGCCAGACAAAGCCUUCUCUUUGUCUGGGCGCCUCCCUCCCUCCCUGCCAUUCAAACGCUGAGAGAUUUCAUUUCCAGUAAGUGGAGGCUAGAGAGAAAGCAGCAAGCAGGAGGGAGGGGAACACAUAGAAGGGUGGGAGCGGGGAGAAGGCAACAGCACUGAAUCAGGGCCAAGACUUAGCCCCAUUGUCCAAGUGACAACUCAUUAAAACAAUGAUUUGCAGGCUGUGCGGGGGGGACGCCUGUCUCUGAAGAGCCACCUUUCCCGUUCAAUGAGGUAGCAUCUGCAGCCAGUGCCCGCCCGGGGUGUCUGGGAGCCCCUGGUUUUUACAACAGCUCUCGCUGCUCCCACGUAAGGGGCAAUCUGAUGGCUCCCAAAUUCUGAUGCUUGCUUAGAAGCAAGCAGUGCCCAGGCUUAAUGUCUCCACAGCAGCCGCUUCGGGGAAGCAGACAAGAGUCUGCUCUCCAUCCCCGGCUGGGAACCCCCCAAGGUGUCCCCAGAGCCUCUCCCUCCUGCACAACCAGGUUGCAUUUCCUGUGGAUGAGAUUACAGGCCAAGCUCCUUUGGCAAACAGCAAAGGCUCAGAAACCCCUGGAAGGGGCGGGUGGGCCAAGCAAGGCGGGGGGGUCCUGGGGAUGGUGAGGCUCUCUGGCUUCAGGAAGAGGGAGAUGGGCCCACGGCUCACCCAACUUUUUCUCCACCGGAGAAACAGGGCUACCCAGGGGACACCAUGAAAUCUAAAGAGCGGCCUUGAGAAGAUGCAUCUCCCUGGGCCCCGGCUUUCUCAGCUAUGAAAGGAGAAGGCUGAACUGCCUGCCACCCUUUCGUGCCCCAGACACACCUUGAGCAUCUACUAUGGGCAGAGGCAGCACUAGGAAUUUUUGGCUUCCUUCAGCAAACAUUCAUUGACUCUGAGGCCUUGUGCUAGAUGCCCAGCGCGUAAGCCACAAAGAGGGCCACGCAUGUGUCCUUAGCAACUUGGAGUCUUGAAGAAGAAACAAACAGAAAGUGAUGGCCCUGUGCAGGAUUAGGGUGUCCUAUGGGCCUAUCGGAAAGGUGAGGCCUUGAAGGAAGUGUUGGAGGACCGGAGGAAUUCUGACUCUUUCAACGCGAUGCUCUAGAGAGAGGCUGGUGUGGUGGCUGAGGCCCUCUGUCCCCAGAGCUGACUCCUCCAGGCUCCGACCACAUAGUGAGGUCUUCUCCGCCCUUUCUUUUACCUACUGGGAAAUGUGGCUGCUGAUUCCCACCCACCAGCAGCGGGGGAGGCCCACUUAGGAGCACAGACUCCGGGGUUUGAAGCCUGGCUGAGCCACUUAGAAGCCAGGUGGCCUCACGCAAGCUGCUUACCAUGUCUCAGCCUGGUCUCCUCAUCUGCAAAGCAGGGUGAACACCAGCUUUGUCUGGAGUAUUGAGGUACUGCCUGUGCAGGGUGCGGGGGGUUAGUAUGGGGCCUUGGCCUACAGUCCUGCCAUUUCCACUCCCUGCAAGACCCACUAUAGCCCCAUUUUUCUGGGGUGAUCCUGUACUUUUCAUCUCUCAGAUGAGACCCCAAAUUCUGCCACGAAGCGUCCCCCAACUCUCCAAUCCUGGCACCCCUGUGUCCCCAAAAGGCCUGUGACCUAGCUUGUGUUGGACUCAGCGUCCCAGGCGGCAACAGGCCCACUGUGUCAUCUGUUGUCUCACUAGCCUCUGAGCACCUUACAAAUAUCUUCUUUACAGCAACUCACUUGCUUUAGCAUCUCUGGUCUACGGAUGAAGAAACAGAGGCUCGGGGGACAUAGAUGACUUGCCAAGGUCACACGGUCGAUUAAACAGGUGGGGUGCAGAACUCAGCCCAGCAUUUCUGUGUAACAACUGCGUUUUAAUAAGGGCUGCUCUCGCCUUAACCUGAAGCCUUGGUAACCAUGAGGGCCUCAGGCUGGAAACAAUAGGGGGAAGGGAGAGAUUUUUGGAAAAGGAGCUUCUUAUGGGAAAACGACUUGAAGAUUUUUGAGGCUCUCCGGUCCUAAUAUACAGCAGGCAUCAUUCACCUGUCCUGCAGUGUCCCUCAUGGCUAGGAUCUUUCCUACCCCUGCCCUCUUCUGUGUCACCAUAAUCCUGUGCAGAAGGACCCAGAUCCAUGCCAUGUUUAUAAAGGACCAGAAAGCUCAGGCACGUGAUUUGCCCGAGGCCACAGCUGGUAACGCAGACGCUCAAAUUUAGCACUGGCCAGCUCUUGGGACAGCAGGGUCCCCUUCUACCCUGCUCUGGUUCUGGCCUGAGUCAUCUGCUGCCAAUGGGAGGGAUGACCAGUUUGGAGCAGGCCUGCCCCAGGCCUUUGCCCCAGGAAGGAUGGGGCGGGGAAGGGUAGGCCCUGCAGGCAGGUGUGGGGCAGGAGAAGGGCCUUCCAACACUGUUACCGUGUCCAGGGGACAUAUCAAUGCACGGCGUCACCUCGCAGACCCCGACCAAGCAUCAGGUACGUAGCAAUCCUCGCCCUCAGGAAUCACUAACACCCCAGGCUCUCAGCCCAGCUGGGGACCUUGGCAUUGUACCAGGGGUACACGGCACAGCUUCUCAGGGCGUCAAGUCUACUUGGAGACUUGGGGAGAAAAAAAAAACAUUAAAAAAAUUGUUUUAAACAAACAUUGAUAAAAUCAUGGAGAAUAUUAAAUGUCAUGAGAAUGUUUAAAAAGAAACAUGAAACUCCCAAGAAAUUCACUUAACCCUCUCUGUGGAAAGGCUUGAGAAAUAGUGAGCGAGCCCUAUCCUCUCACAGAACAGAGAGAGAAAGUGGAGCCGGAGACAUCAGGUGACUGGCUCAGGGUCACACAGCCGGUCAGCUCCCGGCACUUGGAUUAGGACCUAGAAGGGAGGCACCAAGAAGCCCAGGCUGAGACCAGCGGCGUUGUGGUCAGAGGAUCCUGGGUUCCAGUGAAGGCUCUGCUACCCACGUACUGUCCUUCCCGGGCUGGUCAAGUCACUUCCCUGUGCCUCAGUUUCCUCACCAAUAAAAUGGGGCAACAGUCUUGGCA
rnacentral:lncRNA from 1 species